rnacentral:SRP_RNA from 1 species
CGGUGGGUCUAGGCGGGGGGCUAGGGGUCCCCUGAGAGGCCAUGAGCCUCGACCGUAAACCCUCUAUACGACGGGCCGAAAGCUGAAGUGAGGCGCCUAAGCCCGCUGACCCCACGUUCCUCAAACCAUGACUACCCGUCCCUUGGGGCUAGCGGUCAUGGGGCAACCUCCGUAGGGAGGUUGACCACCAUGUUUACCAAGCGAACCUGGCUAGGCCCGGGAGGGAGCAACCUAAGCUUGGACGUUUAGCGCUCAAGGGAGUGCGGGUAGGAGUAACGGGAACGUUUUGGGUCGGCGGAUACUAGGCGUCGAGCUUCAGGACCCACCG